rnacentral:rRNA from 1 species
UAGCGAAAUUCCUUGUCGGGUAAGUUCCGACCCGCACGAAAGGCGUAAUGAUUUGAGCGCUGUCUCGACAAUGCACCCGGUGAAAUUGAAAUACCAGUGAAGAUGCUGGUUACCUGCGCCAGGACGGAAAGACCCCAUGGAGCUUUACUCCAGCUUGAUACUGGGAUUCGAUAUUGCAUGUACAGGAUAGGUGGGAGACUAGGAAGCGGUGACGCCAGUUGCCGCAGAGUCGCUGUUGGGAUACCACCCUUGCAGUAUUGGAUUUCUAACCAGCAGCCGUGAACCGGCUGGGGGACAAUGUCAGGUGGGGAGUUUGACUGGGGCGGUCGCCUCCGAAAGGGUAUCGGAGGCGCUCAAAGGUUCCCUCAGAAUGGUUGGAAACCAUUCGAAGAGUGCAAAGGCAGAAGGGAGCUUGACUGCGACACCGACGGGUGGAGCAGGUACGAAAGUAGGACUUAGUGAUCCGGUGGUAUAAAGUGGGAUUGCCAUCGCUCAACGGAUAAAAGCUACCCUGGGGAUAACAGGCUUAUCACUCCCAAGAGUUCACAUCGACGGAGUGGUUUGGCACCUCGAUGUCGGCUCAUCGCAUCCUGGGGCUGAAGUAGGUCCCAAGGGUUGGGCUGUUCGCCCAUUAAAGCGGUACGCGAGCUGGGUUCAGAACGUCGUGAGACAGUUCGGUCCCUAUCUGUCGUGGGCGCAGGAUAUUUGAUGGGAGCUGUCCCUAGUACGAGAGGACCGGGACGGACGUACCUCUGGCGCACCAGUUGUUCCGCCAGGAGCAUAGCUGGGCAACUACGUACGGAUCGGAUAAACGCUGAAAGCAUCUAAGCGUGAAGCCGACCCAAAGAUAAGAUAUCCCAUUGUUUCAAACAAGUAAGACCCCUUGAAGACUACAAGGUUGAUAGGCACGAUGUGUAAGUGGAGCGAUCCAUUCAGCAAGCGUGUACUAAUAGGUCGAGGGCUUGACCAC